GACGAACGCUGGCGGCGUGCCUAAUACAUGCAAGUCGAGCGGAUGGAUGGGAGCUUGCUCCCUGAAGUUAGCGGCGGACGGGUGAGUAACACGUGGGCAACCUGCCUGUAAGACUGGGAUAACUUCGGGAAACCGGAGCUAAUACCGGAUACGUUCUUUUUUCGCAUGAGGGAAGAUGGAAAGAUGGUUUCGGCUAUCACUUACAGAUGGGCCCGCGGCGCAUUAGCUAGUUGGUGGGGUAAAGGCUCACCAAGGCGACGAUGCGUAGCCGACCUGAGAGGGUGAUCGGCCACACUGGGACUGAGACACGGCCCAGACUCCUACGGGAGGCAGCAGUAGGGAAUCUUCCGCAAUGGACGAAAUUCUGACGGAGCAACGCCGCGUGAGGGAAGAAGGCCUUCGGGUCGUGAAGCUCUGUUGUCAGGGAAGAACAAGUGCCAGAGUAACUGCUGGCACCUUGACGGUACCUGACCAGAAAGCCACGGCUAACUACGUGCCAGCCGCCGCGGUAAUAC
rnacentral:rRNA from 1 species